UACAAAGGCAAACAAAGUUUUAUUUGGCAGAAAUAAAGGCAUUUAGAAACAUCAGAAGACUCUGGUGUGGGGCAGCACAUCAGCAGCGUCGUGGUUCAGAUGGCAGGAUCGCCACUGUCCAGUGUUCCUGCAGAUCUGACUGAAAAGCAGAGUCGAGCAUAGGAUGGAUGACACCUUCCCUGCUUGUCUUGGAGACUUCGGCAGGGUGGAAGCAGCCUGUCAACAGAAGGCUUGGACAAGGCAAUCACAACCUAUAUAUGCCCAUUUACAGCAGCAGAUUGGCAAAGCAGCGAAUCGACACUGCUGUUCCCUCAGCUUUUUGACUGGUCCCUCAGAAUUUCCACAGUAAGUGACAGCUCUAAAAUGCCCGUGAGACAUUGCUCUGACUCCUCACUACUACACUGGGGAGAAAAGAAAAAGGGAACGCCAGAGAAGAACCCUCACUGCCCAGUUUAUUAGCCAUUUUCUCUAUGUGUUUUUCUAAACCACUGCUAAAAGCAGUGUGAUCUGCAGUCUUACCUCUACUGUUCCCACCAGAACAACAGAGUCACCCUGUUGUUUCUUCACUUGUUCACCUUCGAUUAAAACCUCCCUUCCCAAUCCUAACUCCAAACAGCUCUGCUCUCCUAAACAAGCCCAUGCUGUCCAGCAGCAGGCUGCUAGGGUCAGUGUCAUCUGCUGGAUGGGUUUCGGGUGUGUGGGGCACAGAAGCCCCUUCUGAACUUUCUUUGAGAGAAGUUUGCUCUGUAGGAAGGAGGUGGCAGCAUGUGUGGUCUAUGCUUGCAUUACCUGCACUGGCCAUAAAGCUAAACCUGAGAUUUUUAUCACAGUUACACUGUGGCAUGCUUACUAUACAAACCAGAAAUGUAGAGUUAUAUAUAUAUACAUUAGACAUUAACACAUUAAAAGGUAUUCAUGUUGCUUAUUCAGAGGGCAGAGUGGGUGGAAACCAGAUUCUGCUUCACUGCAUUCCCCUGGAAUGGCACCAGAACCGUCUUAGAACAGAUCUUCCAGAUAAGACCAGCAAAUUUACAACAAAGUUCAUAGCAACCGCCAUGGGCUCCAGCUCACUUCCUCCUCCUCCACUCUGUGACUCACAGAAGUUAUUCUCUAUCAGAUGAUAGCUAUUAAUUGCCAAUCUCAACACUGGAGAAAGCUGUGUCACCACCACAGGUAAAGAUAUAUUUAGUUACCACUAGAUAAUGCCUACACUUCUGCCAGUGCAAACAGGCACAUGACUUCUCAGAGCAGAAGCAUGGGGAUUUCUUACCAAAGAAAGAGGCAUUUGAAGUUUCGAAUUCAAGAAACCCUUGCAGCAGAGUGCAAAGAAAGCAUUUUCUUUUAAGUGACAGCUCAUCUCGACCACUGCAAGUCGCAGGUAUUCACUCUUACACUCAAAUUUUAAUUCAGUGUAGGAUCUCUCCUCUCCAUUUCAGGAAACAGCUGAACCCCACAUUUGUUAAUUCAAGCAUCCAGGCAGUAAUUAGAACAUGCUUAAGGAGUUCUGCAGCUUAGCUGAAGCAACAGCAGUUUUAGCAGGAUUUUCCUGCUCUAAUUAUCUUGGCUUCAUAUCUGAGAAAAACACCAUCUCAUCUCAGCUCUGGAUGCAGAUGCCUACACCGAGAGCUCACUGCCCACUGGCAACUGCAGCAGCAUUUCCCAAUAGCGAGAUAAAGAAAAUCUGAGUCUGGAGGCUGAGAAUGUAUAAUGUGUUCUCAGCAUCAGCCCAACAGCUAACAAGUGCCAUGGCAUCUCUUACCAAACCUUCCACCUGUGGGUGCUUGCCGUGUUGCAGCUGACCAUCUUCGUGAAGCAGCAUUACAUGUUAUCUGGAACCAUUCAAAGCAGAAUGCAUCCCAAAUCUACUGCCUGCACUGAGUCCCCAGGCACAGCAUUCAGCAUGCCCACACCUUUGACAAGGAUGCUGCAGAGUGUUCU
ensembl:lncRNA